AGACAAUCAAAAACCAGCACCGACGGACACAGUAUUCAGAUACCCCUGUUCCCUACUCACAAUAUAUGGUGCCCAGUUAAAGUGUUAGACACUUAUUCACUUUCAGUCCACAAACAACCUCAAAAGCCUUUGUUUGAACUGCAUGGACACACUCUGACCACAGCUAAAUUCAUGCUAUUCAUAAGACUUCUGUUAACCAGGCUCGGCCUAAACCCCAAUCAAUUUUCAGGCCACUCUUUCCGUAUAGGAGCAGCAUCUUCCGCAUCCGCUAACCACGUCCCCGCUCUUAUUAUUAAGGCCAUGGGGCGAUGGAAAUCCU